rnacentral:rRNA from 1 species
CAAGUGGGUGUUUAGGGCUACCCUUUCUUAUAAGGGUAUUCUCUACGCCCUCGACUAUCGGUUCUUAAGCCGAAGGAAGGUUGAGGCAAUAACAGGUCUGUGAUGCCCUUGGAUGUUCUGGGCUGCACGCGCGCUACACUGAUGGGGGCAAAGAGUGGGACAUUCGCCUUGCUCGGAAGGGCUGGGUAAUCUUGCGAAACCUCAUCGUGCUGGGGAUAGAUCUUUGUAAUUAUCGAUCUUCAACGAGGAAUUCCUAGUAAGCGCGAGUCAUCAGCUUGCGUUGAUUACGUCCCUGCCCUUUGUACACACCGCCCGUCGCU